rnacentral:lncRNA from 1 species
UGGGCGUUUUGCAGCUAUCAAAUCAAUUUCGUCCUGUAAUUCUUGUGGUAUAUGACGUUUUAUGCCACUUGAAGUAGAUGGUUCUUCGUCCAUUCUCUGGUAGUAUAAAUCUUAUGCUGUUUCAUCUGUCACAUUAUGUCCAUGUUAAAUAUUGUCUUUUGUACUUUUCAAUAUAUCUUGCCUCAUUGACUGCUGUCUGUUCAUUGCGUAUUAAUC